GACGAACGCUGGCGGCGUGCUUAACACAUGCAAGUCGAGCGGUAAGGCCCUCUCGGGGGUACACGAGCGGCGAACGGGUGAGUAACACGUGGGUGACCUGCCCUCAGCUCUGGGAUAAGCCUGGGAAACUGGGUCUAAUACUGGAUAUGACUCCACGGUGCAUGUCGUGGGGUGGAAAGCCUUGUGCGGCUGAGGAUGGGCCCGCGGCCUAUCAGCUUGUUGGUGGGGUGAUGGCCUACCAAGGCGACGACGGGUAGCCGGCCUGAGAGGGCGACCGGCCACACUGGGACUGAGACACGGCCCAGACUCCUACGGGAGGCAGCAGUGGGGAAUCUUGCGCAAUGGGCGAAAGCCUGACGCAGCGACGCCGCGUGAGGGAUGACGGCCU
rnacentral:rRNA from 1 species